GGGAUUGUGGCUCAGCGGUAGAGCGCUCACCUACCAUGUGUGAGGCCCUGUGUUUGAUCCUCAGCACCA
rnacentral:tRNA from 1 species